rnacentral:lncRNA from 10 species
CCACCACGCCUGGCUAAUUUUUUGUAUUUUUAGUAGAGACGGAGUUUCUGCAUGUUGGCCAGGCUGGUCUUGAACUCCCGACCUCGGGUGAUCUGCCCGCCUCGGCCUCCCAGAGUGCUGGGAUUAUAGGCAUGAGCCACUGCACCCAGCCAAUUUUUUUUUUUUUUUUAAGAAAAAAAAAAUGGAGACCGGGUCUCGCUAUAUUGCCCUGGCUGCUCUCAAACUUCUGGGCUCCAGCAAUCCUCCCACCUCGGCCUCCCACACUGCUGGGAUUACAGGCAUGAGCCACUGCACCCAGCCUAUUUCUUAAAUGAUGGAUCAUACGAAAGAAGACAGCACUCCCAUGAGCCACUGCACCCAGCCUAUUUCUUAAAUGAUGGAUCAUACGAAAGAAGACAGCACUCCACCUCAGCCCUCCUAUCUCCCAUAUUAGUGUCACAGCUUUAAUGCCACUUUUUUCAGUGUUGAGGGUAUUCUCUAACCUCUCGCCCCCUAUUAUGAGUCCCAUAUCUCUUUGCAAUAUUUAUUUGCAAUAAUUUAGACGUAUUUAGAAUGGUAAUUAUUUAAUGUCUGGUUUUUUUUCCCCACUCCAACAGCAAAAUGUAAGCUCUAUGUGGGCAGGAACUGAAUAUCUUUCAUUGCUAAACUGAGUAUGUGACAGAUGCUUACUAAGUAUCUGUUGAUUACUUGUCAUACCCUCAAGACACUUGUUGUAUCUCCUGCUUCCUCACUUACCCACUAUCUUGUACUUAUCACUAAAAUCAACACUUUCAGAAGACAUCAAAUCCCUCUCCCUUUGAAUAAAACACAAAUUUGUGAGCUCACUGCCAUCUUUUCUCCAAUUUCUUCCCUGAGGUCUAGUUGGGCCAAGUUAUUUCCUUCUCCUACUUCUAUUUUUGAUUCUUCUUAUUAAUAAUCUAUACUUUCACUAAUUUCUCUUUCUCUUAAGGCCCAUAAAGUAGAUGCCACCAUGCCUUCUUAACUGACUUAAGACAAUUUAUCUGCACAUCAGACUAUCCCCUAACAGCAUUUCUCUCUUUUGCAUCAACUUCAAAAGGCUAGAAGCUACACUAUUCCAUAUAAGUAUAUGUGUGGUUGUUUCAAUUAAUUAAAAUUAAAGAAAACUUAAAAUUCCCCUUCUUCCAGCUAUAGUUAUUAGUAAUAAGCCUAAAUUUAAUUUCAAAGAUUUGGUAAAUAAAUAUCAAAUGUAUUCCAUUCAUAACUUUUAUGAUUUUGAGCUUUCAAUCAUAUGCCCUUGAAUGUUGAUCUUUUCUGACCAAAUCUCAGCUUCUUAUUUGGUCUGUCUGCAUGUGAAAGCCUCUCCUUAUGCUGAUUUUAUCAGCUUUCUUCAGACUUUAUCCAGUUCUAACACCUCACAAUGCUUUAUACAUUGCAGACAAUCAACACAUCUUAAAACAUGAAUAUAGACCAGGUCAACCUGAUAUUCAUCUUUCUUGAUGAGUACUUGGAAAAGAAAUGUCUACAUAUGUAGAAAAAAAAAUCCCUGAAAUACCAAUAGAAACUAGGAAACAAAGACACCAUUUACCAGAAAGAAUCACAACAGAAAUAACUCUUGCAAUGUGUGGAGUGAUAUAUUUAUAAUGGGAAAAAUUAGUGAACCAAUUUAAAUGUCAUAAUAUAAACAGUAUGUUUCAUUACUUUUUACAUGUCUCAACCUAAAACUUGGAAGAACCUGAAGUAAAUGGUCAAGUCAAUGGAUUUCUUUUUAAUCCUACAAAAGUGAACUCUUGCACUCAGUAGAAGCCCAAUAAAUAUUUGUUGUUGAAAUUACAAUAUACUAUACCGAAAGAAGUAACCUAACAUUGUAACAGAGAACAAUAGGAUUUUGUUAUCUAGGUAAGGAAGUUAAACAUAACAGCAGGUAGCACAAAGGAAUCAGCUUAGCAAUAAUAAAUUUCAGAUUAUGAGGAAUAGAAAACAUUACAAUUACAUAUAGAAAAUACAAAGCUAGUGUUACAGCUCUUUUAGAAUUUGUCUAGUAGGCUUUCCGGUUUUUGCAGGAAAGCCCCCCCAAAAAGAAAAUACAAAUCUUACCUGAAGAUCUUCUGAGAAUAUGAUAAGUAGGAAAGUACUUAACCUAGAGUAGGAAAGUAUUAAUAAAAGAAUUAGGCUACAGAUUUCUUUCAACCUUAACUUUCUCCAUACACUAGAGUAUAGUGAAAAAGCAAAGUAUAUGUAAGAUCUUGAAAAGAGAUAAUGAUAAACUAAGUUACUUCCUCACAAACAAUCUGGAUUCAGGAAAUUUGUCUUCUAUAGCUUUUGUGACUUUUCAUAACACAUCACACAGUACUCUACACAUAGCAGAUGGUCAAUACAUAUUAACUAACUGAUUCUUGGUAAGGAUACUCCUGUUUGGGCUUUACUUUAUCUUUCAGAACCAAAUUAGGUGGU